AGAGUUUGAUCAUGGCUCAGAUUGAACGCUGGCGGCAGGCUUAACACAUGCAAGUCGAGCGGAGAUAAGGUGCUUGCACCUUAUCUUAGCGGCGGACGGGUGAGUAAUGCUUAGGAAUCUGCCUAUUAGUGGGGGACAACAUUCCGAAAGGAAUGCUAAUACCGCAUACGUCCUACGGGGGAAAGCAGGGGAUCUUCGGACCUUGCGCUAAUAGAUGAGCCUAAGUCGGAUUAGCUAGUUGGUGGGGUAAAGGCCUACCAAGGCGACGAUCUGUAGCGGGUCUGAGAGGAUGAUCCGCCACACUGGGACUGAGACACGGCCCAGACUCCUACGGGAGGCAGCAGUGGGGAAUAUUGGACAAUGGGGGGAACCUGAUCCAGCCAUGCCGCGUGUGUGAAGAAGGCCUUAUGGUUGUAAAGCACUUUAAGCGAGGAGGAGGCUACUGAGACUAAUACUCUUGGAUAGUGGACGUUACUCGCAGAAUAAGCACCGGCUAACUCUGUGCCAGCAGCCGCGGUAAUACAGAGGGUGCGAGCGUUAAUCGGAUUUACUGGGCGUAAAGCGUGCGUAGGCGGCUUUUUAAGUCGGAUGUGAAAGCCCCCGAGCUUACUUGGGGAUUGCAUUCGAUACUGGGAAACUAGAGUAUGGGGAGAGGAUGGAUGAAAUUCCAGUGUAGCCGGGGAAUUGCGCUAGAGACCUGGUAGGAAUACCCGU
rnacentral:rRNA from 1 species